AUGGUUUGCUAAACGCACCUUUCUCUUUCAGAUCUUUUAUGACCUGGUCAGACAAAUAAACAGAAAAACACCAGUGGAAAAGAAGAAGCCUAAAAAGAAGUCAUGUCUGCUGCUUUAGACCCACAGCACGCAGCAGCUCUGAGCCAGAUUGCAGGAAUGAAGAACUGUUGCCCAAUUGGAAAGUGCCAGCAUUCCAGAUGUCAAAAAAUGACAAAGUAACAACAUAUCUGAAGAUGCUUCUCCUGUUUUUAUAUAUUAUGUGAAGAAUUUAGAUCUUAUAAUGGUUUGCACAAGAUCCCUGGAAAAAGAAAUUGCUCUGUGUAUAUCUCUUGGAAAUUAAGACCAUAGUAUUUCUCCUUUGCAAUAGCGGUUAACAGAUGUGAAAAUAAAUAUAAUUGACUCUAGUGUAUAAUUAUACAAAAGAGCAUGGAUGCAUUUCAAAUGUUAGAUAUUGCUACUAUAAUUAAAAUAAUUUCAUAUUGACCUUUUUAUCAUCAUUCUUCCCCAUCAAGCACUAAAAAUGUUCAACCAUUAUACUUUUAUAUCUAUAAUUAUAUAGAUAUAUACUAUAUGAAUUUUCCCUUUGAACUCACUGCAGCACGUAACUUUUUGAGUCAUUGACUUCAUUUUAUAUUUAAAAGUUAUGGAAUAUCAUUAUUUUCAUUCUACCAUUAUAUUCUAAUUAAAAAUGUUUGUGCAUAAUGCUUUGGAAAAAUGGGUCUUUUAUAGGAAAAAACUGGGAUAACUGAUUUCUAUGGCUUUCAAAGCAAAAAUAUAUAAUAUACUAAACCAACUCUAAUAUUGCUUUUGUGUUUUACUGUCACAGAUUAAAUUACAGCUUUUAUGAAUGAUUAAAUUUUAGUACAUUUUAA